GACGUAGGGCGCGAGCGUUGUCCGGAUUUAUUGGGCGUAAAGAGCUCGUAGGCGGCUUGUCGCGUCGACUGUGAAAACCCGCGGCUCAACUGCGGGCUUGCAGCCGAUACGGGCAGGCUAGAGUUCGGUAGGGGAGACUGGAAUUCCGUGGUGAGCGGUGAAAUGCGCAGAUAUCGGAGGAGAACCACGUGGCGAAGGCGGUCUCGUGGGACGUA
rnacentral:rRNA from 1 species